rnacentral:rRNA from 1 species
GACGUAGGGGGCGAGCGUUGUCCGGAUUUAUUGGGCGUAAAGGGCGCGUAGGCGGCUACGCACGUCCGUUGUGAAAUCGCUCGGCUCAACUGGGAGGGGUCGUGUGAGACUGCCGGGCUAGAGCACGGUAGGGGGCAGUGGAAUUCCCGGUGUAGUGGUGGAAUGCGUAGAGAUCGGGAGGAACACCAGUGGCGAAGGCGGCUGCCUGGACCGGUGCUGACGCUGAGGCGCGAAGGCGUGGGGAGCGAUCCGG